UAGGGAAUCUUCGGCAAUGGACGAAAGUCUGAUCGAGCAACGCCGCGUGAGUGAAGAAGGUUUUCGGAUCGUAAAACUCUGUUGUUAGAGAAGAACAAGGACGUUAGUAACUGAACGUCCCCUGACGGUAUCUAACCAGAAAGCCACGGCUAACUACGUGCCAGCAGCCGCGGUAAUACGUAGGUGGCAAGCGUUGUCCGGAUUUAUUGGGCGUAAAGCGAGCGCAGGCGGUUUCUUAAGUCUGAUGUGAAAGCCCCCGGCUCAACCGGGGAGGGUCAUUAGAAACUGGGAGACUUGAGUGCAGAAGAGGAGAGUGGAAUUCCAUGUGUAGCGGUGAAAUGCGUAGAUAUAUGGAGGAACACCAGUGGCGAAAGCGGCUCUCUGGUCUGUAACUGACGCUGAGGCUCGAAAGCGUGGGGAGCAAACAGG
rnacentral:rRNA from 1 species